UACGUAGGUGGCAAGCGUUGUCCGGAUUUACUGGGCGUAAAGGGCGUGCAGGCGGUCUGUUAAGUGCAGGGUGAAAGCUCCCGGCUCAACUGGGAGAGGUCCUUGCAUACUGGCGGACUUGAGGGGGGUAGAGGAAAGUGGAAUUCCCGGUGUAGUGGUGAAAUGCGCAGAUAUCGGGAGGAACACCAGUAGCGAAGGCGGCACUCUGGGCCGUGACUGACGCUGAGGAGCGAAAGCGUGGGUAGCAAACAGG
rnacentral:rRNA from 1 species